rnacentral:piRNA from 1 species
UUCCAGGAUGGCCUAAAGCUACACGGAGA